GAUGAACGCUGGCGGCGUGCCUAAUACAUGCAAGUCGAGCGAACAGACGAGGAGCUUGCUCCUCUGAUGUUAGCGGCGGACGGGUGAGUAAAACGUGGAUAACCUACCUAUAAGACUGGGAUAACUUCGGGAAACCGGAGCUAAUACCGGAUAACAUGUUGAACCGCAUGGUUCAACAGUGAAAGACGGUUUUGCUGUCACUUAUAGAUGGAUCCGCGCCGCAUUAGCUAGUUGGUAAGGUAACGGCUUACCAAGGCAACGAUGCGUAGCCGACCUGAGAGGGUGAUCGGCCACACUGGAACUGAGACACGGUCCAGACUCCUACGGGAGGCAGCAGUAGGGAAUCUUCCGCAAUGGGCGAAAGCCUGACGGAGCAACGCCGCGUGAGUGAAGAAGGUCUUCGGAUCGUAAAACUCUGUUAUUAGGGAAGAACAAAUGUGUAAGUAACUAUGCACGUCUUGACGGUACCUAAUCAGAAAGCCACGGCUAACUACGUG
rnacentral:rRNA from 1 species